GUACUUCUCCUUGCCCAGCUGGAUGAUGGUGUAGGCGUCGUUGCUGCCAUUUUUACCUUUUGGCUUCAGACCUUUGGCUUGAAGGACCGUAACUUGCACGUGAGUUGGGAACCACUUCUGGGCUUGCUCCCCCAACAUCAUCUUUGGGGACGGCGGCAGCGACAACGAACACAAACGUCUUGUCCUGCCACUACCUGGAUCCUUCCACCCCUAGUGACAAUAGCAAGACAUCACAGAAACUUUUAGAAAAGUUCGAGUCAUGGAGGCUGUCGGGAAGGAAAGAGGGAGCUUCCCAGAAAGAUCAUCAGCGAUCCUACGAAGAGGAGAGCAUUCAGGAUGUAGGUUUUAAUGUGGUUCAUAUACCAAUGUUGAUUUUGCCAACUAGUUCAUCUAAGUAAGACUGAUCUGCCCCAGCACAUCCUUGGUCAUAGACAUCAUAAUGAUAUACAAAUUUGCCUUGGCCAGAAUGCCUCACCUGGGACUCCUGCACCCAGCCCAGUUCACAGGUCUCCUUAUGUUAGAGCCAUCCAGUCUUGACUGAAAAGCUUCUGGGCUGAAGAACCCAUGAUCCAUUUGUAGAAAUUUUCCUGAUGACUAAUUAACCUCACUGCUAAUCCUGUCUGCUUUAUCCAUAAUCAGAAUUUGACAUUUCCAGCUUCUAGGUCUUGAUCCAUUUUUAUAUGCUGAGUUACACAGCCUUUACAAAUCUUCUCCAUGUGGAGGUAUUAAUAUAUCACAAUCAAGUCUCUUAACCUUUCUUUUGAUAAAGUAAACAGAUUAGGCUGCAUACAUCUAUCCCUACAAGGCAGAUAUUCCAGAUCUUGAAAUCAUUCUUUUCUGAUCUAUUUUCAAUUUUCCACGGCUUCUUUGAAGUGUGAACACCAAGACUAGUCAUGAUAUUCCAGUAGUUUUCCCACCAGCUCACACACAGCUGUACUUCUUGUGCCAGAAUCCCUGGCCCAGUCAUUCUGCUGCUAGCUUAGGUUUAGGAAAUUCAAUCUAGAGCAUUAAAACACUUGCUAUAUAUUUUCCCUGCAUAAUUGGAAAGCAGUGAGAGAUCAAGCAAAGGAUCAAAUCUGAGGGAGAAAAAAAAAAAAAAAAGUUUCCAAUUCUCAAGUUAAUUGUCCUGAAAAGUUUGGAGAAAUUUACUACAGAGAUACUCUCCCAUAGAGCAACCAAGUGCUGACUGUAAGUCUGUUUAUGCUUUGGACACAUCUGUAUGGCAGCAGCAUAAAGAGUGUGGCAUGCUGUUUAAUAUCUGUCAGGCUUCUUUUUUAAACCACUUAAUAAGCAUGUAUGUAAAUUCUACGCAAUAAAAAAGUUCUAACAACUAGAACAAGAAUAACCUUUUAUGUGGUGGCUCCCACCCUUAAUCCCAGCUCCUACAUGCCAGUUCCUCCCCCCACUUUCACAGCCCCAUUUCUUGACAGGUGCCAGAAGGUUUCAGAAUUUUCUUGCGGCUUCACCAUGGGAACUGCCAUUUCACCAGGAAUGAAUUUGACCUGCUGAGCAAUAAAGCUGAGGCAAAACACUUACACUCUAGCCAGAAUGGGGGGAAUUGCUUGUCUUUCUGUUGGCAUGGACUCCUCUGGCAAUUUUUUUUUUUUUUAUCCAAGGAGAGCUCCAUGUUCAUUCAAAGUCCCUCUAGCUUCACCUUGAGAAAGAAGCAGGGCUUUGAAAGUGUCGUUUUCCCAGCAACAGCUGCUGCUUUUAGCAUCCAACAGUCUUUAAAUCCAUAGAAGGCUAGUUUAUAUGGACAGGGAAGCAUUAAAUGCUAGGAAAUGAGGGUCUUUAGGUAACUAUUCCAGAUCUGCUAUAUCUGCAGUUACAGCAAUUGGUGGUGUAGGUGGUGUUCUUUUACUGGCUUUUAAUGAGACACAUUUAUUACUGCCUUGCGAUAAACCAAAGUAAAGUCAUAAAAGUGACUUUCAUUGAACAUUUGUUUGAGUCCUGCCUGGGUCUUAUAAAGCUUCAUUUGUUCAAGACUUUAGUUUUUGUUUUACGUGCCUGCCACCUUUUUGGUAACAGCUGUUAUCUCCUUUGAUAGUAACAUAAAAUGGGCUUACCUUCCACCAUACAGCAGAAACUUCUUUCAUGGCUUGUGUGAGAUCGAGUUGGGAGCUGAUACUUUGUCAUAUGUGAAACCACUUGAGUAACCCAACUGCUCCAUACGACUGGGCAGAUCAUGAGUUUGAAACUGCUUAUGUUUAUUUAUGGUAAUUUCACACUGCUUGAAAAAAAAAAAAACAACAACCCCAAACUGUGCAGGUUGAUAAAAGAACUGAAAUUUUAGGAAGUACAGCAUCUAAUCCACGGGGUUUUGUUCAGGGGAGUGAAGUCCCAAUGACUUCAGAGAGAUCCUUGAUAGACCAGAAUCUUCAGCCAGAGCAUGGCAUGGUGAUAAAAAUAAAUAUAUUCUUUUAGGUCCAACAAUGAAUCCAAAUUCUUUAAUGCUUAUGAGUUUUCUUCAACUACUGCACUAGUACGUGUUUCACUAAAUACGAGUUCCAAUAUUGCAGCUAAACUCUCUGGAAAUAUUCUCCAAGAAAUGUUCUUAACAAUUCACCUCUGUAAGUUAAUACCUAUUAAAACCUAAAUAUGAAUUAGAUUUGGAAUUUCCUGGAUUCUUGUGUUUG